CCUACGGGUGGCUGCAGUGAGGAAUAUUGGUCAAUGGACGAAAGUCUGAACCAGCCAAGUAGCGUGAAGGAUGACUGCCCUGUGGGUUGUACACUUCUUUUAUAGAGGAAUAAAACGAGGCACGUGUGCCUUUUUGCAUGUACUUUAUGAAUAAGGAUCGGCUAACUCCGUGCCAGCAGCCGCGGUAAUACGGAGGAUCCGAGCGUUAUCCGGAUUUAUUGGGUUUAAAGGGAGCGUAGAUGGGUUGUUAAGUCAGUUGUGAAAGUGUGCGGCUCAACCGUAAAAUUGCAAUUGAUACUGGCAGUCUAGAGUACAGUUGAGGUAGGCGGAAUUCGUGGUGUAGCGGUGAAAUGCGUAGAUAGCACGAAGAACCCCGAUGGCGAAGGCAGCUUACUAAACUGUGACUGACAUUGAUGCUCGAAAGUGUGGGUAGCAAACAGGAUUAGAUACCCCUGUAGUC
rnacentral:rRNA from 1 species